rnacentral:rRNA from 1 species
CUUGAUAGUAUAAUGGCAUAAGCUUGCCUGACUGCGAGGCUGACAAGCCAAGCAGAGACGAAAGUCGGUCAUAGUGAUCCGGUGAUUCUGUAUGGAAGGGUCAUCGCUCAACGGAUAAAAGGUACGCCGGGGAUAACAGGCUGAUGGUGUUCGAGCGUUCAUAGCGACAACACCGUUUGGCACCUCGAUGUCGACUCAUCACAUCCUGGGGCUGAAGAAGGUCCCAAGGGUUCGGCUGUUCGCCGAUUAAAGUGAUACGUGAGUUGGGUUUAGAACGUCGUGAGACAGUUCGGUUUCUAUCUGCCGUGGGUGAAGGAAAUUUGAGAAGGUCUGACUCUAGUACGAGAGGACCGAGAUGGAUAUACCUCUGGUGUACCAGCUGUUAUGCCAAUAGCAUCGCUGGGUGGCUAUGUAUAGAUGGGAUAAUUGCUGAAAGCAUAUAAGCAAGAAACCCUCUUCAAAAAGAUUUCCCAAUUAAGGCCGUGGAAGACUACCACGUUGAUAGGCUAGGUGUGGAAGCAUGGUAACAUGUGAAGCUAACUAGUACUAAUAGCCUGAUUGAUUUAUUUGCUUUC